rnacentral:rRNA from 1 species
UACGAAGGGUGCAAGCGUUAGUCGGAAUUACGGGGCGUAAAGCGUGCGUAGGUGGUUUCUUAAGUCGGAUGUGAAAGCCCUGGGCUCAACCUGGGAAUGGCACUCGAUACUGGGAAGCUAGAGUGCGGUAGAGGAGGGUGGAAUUCCCGGUGUAGCGGUGAAAUGCGUAGAGAUCGGGAGGAAUAUCAGUGGCGAAGGCGACCCUCUGGACCAGCACUGACGCUGAGGCACGAAAGCGUGGGGAGCAAACAGG